rnacentral:rRNA from 1 species
UACGAAGGGGGCUAGCGUUGCUCGGAAUCACUGGGCGUAAAGCACACGUAGGCGGACUCUUAAGUCGGUGGUGAAAUCCUGGAGCUCAACUCCAGAACUGCCUUCGAUACUGAGAGUCUCGAGUCCGGGAGAGGUGAGUGGGACUGCGAGUGUAGAGGUGAAAUUCGUAGAUAUUCGCAAGAACACCAGUGGCGAAGGCGGCUCACUGGCCCGGUACUGACGCUGAGGUGCGAAAGCGUGGGGAGCAAACAGG